rnacentral:lncRNA from 1 species
CUUGUGCACCAGGAUUUCCAGACCGCGCAAACGCUUGCACCAACUAACAUUUAGCGCAGCUACUACUUAGCUCACAGCAAUGAAGUUCCUCGCUCUAGCCCUGGCUAUGGUCUGCCUUAUGGUCUCCGUAACCGCCUUGCCAGACCCCCACCGCUAUUAUGGUGGUGGCUACCAUGGUGGUGGUGGGGGAUUUGUGGUAGCUGGUGGUGGAUACCGAUACGGUGGAGGAGGAUACUAUGGAGGAGGAGGAUAUGGACGUCAUCACCACAGACAUGGAUAUUAUGGUUAAAUGGAAACAAUGGAUGCAUCUGAAAUAUUUGUGAUAUUGCAAUUAGGUUCGCUGAUUUUCAGUGUACAUUGGUUAAAUGGAAACAAUGGAUGCACUUGAAUUAUUUGUGAUAUUGCAAAUAGGUUUGCUGAUUUUCGGUGUAUGUACAAUCACUGUAAGACGAGAAGGUUACUGAGUUAGUUACCGCUACUGAUAAACUUGCACUCAAUGAUAAACUUACGAUCAUUCACUGUAAUUUUAUCCGGUCAAGGUAAAAUUGUGGUCACUGUAAUUUUGUACGAUCAAUGUAAAACAUACAGUCAUUGAUAAACUUACGAACUGAUAAAUGAAACGGAAGAUAAACAUGCUAUUAAUGUUAAACUAACGGUCUCUGUUAUACUUGCACAUCUUCUGGAAGUUGCUAAACUGUUCAAGUUACAGCCAUUGUCGUAAUUUUCUGGUAUUUGGAUAUUCCUGAAAAUUUUGACUGAUAGAAUUUUUGGGGUCAACCUUUAUGUUUUGGAUAGUUGUCUUGAAUUAUUUGGUCGCACUGAUUUAUUACAUUUACUAACAUUCUAUUCAACAACUGUCACUGAAGAUAGUAAAGGUUUAUUAUAUGGAAUCACCUGCCUUGUAUGGAAAUAUCAAUUGAGACUUUGCUGUUGCCUUAUAUUAACGGAUUGGAAAGGAGAUUUUUAAUUGAGACAAUAAUGAUUGGUCUUAGAUUAAUGGAUUAGUUAAGAGACUUUUAAUUGAGACUCUUAUCUAAAGCCUCUAAAUAAUGGAUUAAAAAUAAGAAGCUGG